AACACUGCAGCACCACAGAACAAAACAUCAGCUGACCGCAGUGUGCCGGAGCCACGGAGAGUAGGUACUGGUUUCGCUCACACUCAGUGUUCCCGCUGAGUUAGUCAUUUGCCACGUCAAUUAAAUUACUUAAAUAACAUAAUCUUACCAAACCAGACUUACUAACUCUUACGUUUUUCACUGCCCUCUCACGGGUCAAACGGAGGGUGUGUGUGUGUGUGUGUGUUUACCUGUGUAGGCUGCUGUGUGUCUGAGUUUGGGAAAAGAGAAUUCCAAGGACGGGUGAAGAUGAAACAGACAUUGCUGACACUCCUCACUGUGGUCACUGAUGCUCCUGGUGGAGCAAGAGAAAGGUGCUGUGGACCAAAGGCAGCAGUCCGAUCCCUGGUGGUGGUGUUUCUUCAUGAGUCCCUUUCUGUUGGUUUGUAGUGUCACGGGUGAUUAGG